rnacentral:lncRNA from 1 species
UUUUGUUCAUCCCCUCCUGGGGAAAAGACAGAUUCUUUUAGGGAAAGAAAUACUGAAUCAACAGCCCACUUAAAAGAAUGGUUGUCUCAGAAGUAUCUUAUUUAAUUUUUAAAUAAACCCCUAAAAAGUGAAACCAAAGUUUUCCUCCUGUCAGGCUCUGGUAAGAUCAUUUGUGUGUCUGUGUCGAGGUCUUUGUAUGCUGUAUUUGUGUGGUGUGCCAUAGGGAGCAUCCUCUUCCUCAGCCAUGGGGGCAGGUACUGGGUGUAGAUGCCUUUCCAAGGCUCUAAAGGAAAUGUCAGCUUCAACUGUAACUCUCAUGUCCUAGCAGCGUGCCGGUGGUGGUGACCUGCUGGUACUGGCAGCCAUGCCUCAUGUCCAGGGCGGCUGCGUUCACUCUGUGCUGGUUUUUUAACUGGCGUCCCUUUUACCAACCCAAGGUUCAACUUUUGUCCCCAUGAAAUCCAAACAGAGUCCAGGAUUCUCUUUCAAAACCAUUCAUGGUGUUAGAUCUUAUCUUUAAGUUAGGUCUUACUCUUUUCCUUCCUUCCAGGCUUAAGUUCCCUCUAGGAAUCAAAUGUUGCCUAAGUGACCUAAACCGGUUGAAGUCAUACGUAUACAUAUAUGGAACAUGCACAUCACAUGUAUGCACACAGAAGCCUGGGGCUUUGUGCUGUGGUGCAAAUUCUGGGUUCUGAGAAGUUCCCUCAAAGUAGGUAAACAGCUUUGAGGGUCUCUGAUUGCGAGCAGGGACAAGCCCUCCACUGUCCCACCAUCCUUCUCCCUUCAGAGAUGCUGUGUUUUGUCCAUAAUCGCAGGAAACUCAGGUACCUCCUUCCCAGGGACCCCAGCACACCCCUGUCACCAUGUGCACUGGUUGCAGCACACCCUUGUCACCAUGUGCACUAUCUGCUCCUGUCCUACUUAAAACACAAAUUGCCAAUUGCAACUGACUCAAGACAAAAAUAAUCAGCUUUCUAUAGAGUUGCAGAUAGAGCAAAGACUGCGUAAACAUUCCCUCCCUCGGCCAUGCUUCUAGCUCCAGGGAGAUUCUGUUCUGUUUAGCACCCUUCUCGGGCUGGUUCAAAUGAUGUGGGUAACUAUCAUCUUCCCUUAUGUAGUUAUUGUCAGAAACAAAGGUGUGAAUAACUGUAAGAACUGGUUUGGCACAUAACUGAAAAGCUUUGUUGCCUUUAUUUCUGAAACCCUGCCUUUGCACCCAUUUUCCUCAGUUUUGAUCGUGCUAGAAUUGCUCAUGGUAGGUUUUUAUGUGGUCAAAGCAGGAAGGAGUUGAGAGCCAAUGGAUCUGGACACGCCGCUCAUCUGUAGUAUUUGAAGGAAGUGUUUGUCCCUCCUUUUGUUUAUAUCCUAAUUUACUUUAGUGUCUGAACUCUGUGUCAUCUUCAGUAAAUACCACUUGCUACUUUGCCAGAAGGCGCAGGCUUAAUAGAAACGUAUCACCUCAAAACUGUUUGGUGAAGGCCAUGUACAUAUGGUUCUGGACAAUGUCUGUCUGUCUGUCUGUCCCUUUCUCUCUCGACAGUUUCUUCCAUUCCAGAGAGUUGUCUGCAGUAAUGCCAUUAUGAUGCUGCAUCCACUUCUCAUAUCCCAACACAACUGCCGUGUGUUUUGCCUUUUGCAUUAGCAGAAUGUUUUGGGGUUUUCCUCUCUCUUCAAUUUGAAGGUCUGUGAUGAUUUCUGAUAGCUGAACAAUGAUUAUAUUGUUGGAAAUGUGAUUCUAGCUUUAAAGCUCCCUUUCCUUGUAAGUGGUUGUGUUUGCUUUCUUGAUGAAGCGUUUCUGGAUGACGCAUAGAAGACAGUUCUGCCAUGGAUGUGAGUGUGCGCGUGAGUACUUUUCAUUAGCCUUCCUUAUGGAUGUAAACUUUUUAGUGACCAUCUCUGAGCUGCGGAAUGUUUCCCAGAACAUUUUGUAUUCAGAGUUGAAACGAUUCUGAAGUUGCUUAGAUACGUUUAGCACGUAACAACUUGGCUUAUAAAAAGGGAAGAAGAAAAGAGGUAGAAAAAAAGUAGCAGCUCUUCAUCGAAAUUCUGUGGUUCAGAUGAAUUUCAUCUGUUUCCCUCAAUAUAAAGAAGAAAGAAAGUCUUGAUGCAAAAAAAAAAUAUUUACCAUUUUAAAUUUUAUCAAGUUUUCUCUCAAGCUCAUUAGUUUAGUUCAAUGUUACUCAGCAUGCUCACAGCAAGUACUGAAUUGGUCUGUUCCAAUCCCAUGGGUUCUUAGGGUCUGAUCAGAUUCAAUGUUGACUUCUGUACGUGUUGCACUGGGACAGAAAAACACUGUCUUUCAGCUUUGAAUUUUUUUUUUUUUUUUUUUUUUUUAAUUAAAAAAGCAGCAUUAUAGCAGAAGAAGCCAAGCUACAAAGGGGUUCAAGAUUGGAUCAUUUUGCCAGUUUUUAAGUGAAUUCUGAAUGUGGCUAAAGAGUUAAACUCCCUGUGUGUCUGUGUUGUGUAUGCCAGGUGGUAUAGUAGUAGGCAAUUGACUUAGCUGUAAGCGUGGUUUAAAAGUGUAAAAAAAAUUAAACAGAAAACUCACUUGCACGGGUUGAAAAGUACAGAAAUGACACUUGUGAACGUAACACUGUAGUUAUAGAUCUUAAGCUGCUAAUUGUUGAGAGAGAUUUACAUUUGUCUUGUCCGAUUGCCACAGAUUUAUCUGUGACACUUUUACUGUAUAUAAAAAACUUUAAAUAAAGACCUCAGCUAUUAA